rnacentral:rRNA from 1 species
UACGUAGGGUGCAAGCGUUGUCCGGAAUUAUUGGGCGUAAAGAGCUCGUAGGCGGUCUGUUGCGUCGGCUGUGAAAACCCGGGGCUCAACCCCGGGCCUGCAGCCGAUACGGGCAGACUUGAGUUCGGCAGGGGAGACUGGAAUUCCUGGUGUAGCGGUGAAAUGCGCAGAUAUCAGGAGGAACACCGGUGGCGAAGGCGGGUCUCUGGGCCGUAACUGACGCUGAGGAGCGAAAGCGUGGGGAGCGAACAGG